AUUCCCCUAGUAACGGCGAGUGAAGCGGGAAGAGCUCAAAUUUGAAAGCUGUUGCCUUUGGUAACCGCAUUGUAAUCUCGAGAUCUGUUUUCCGCGCUGGACCAUGUACAAGUCCCUUGGAAUAGGGCGUCAUAGAGGGUGAGAAUCCCGUACUUGACAUGGACUCCCAGUGCUUUGUGAUACAGGCUCAACGAGUCGAGUUGUUUGGGAAUGCAGCUCAAAAUGGGUGGUAAAUUCCAUCUAAAGCUAAAUAUUGGGGAGAGACCGAUAGCGAACAAGUACCGUGAGGGAAAGAUGAAAAGCACUUUGGAAAGAGAGUUAAACAGUACGUGAAAUUGUCAAAAGGGAACCGUUUGAAGUUAGUCAUGCUUGCCUGGACUCAGCCUUGCUUUUGCUUGGUGCAUUUCCAGGUACGCAGGUCAGCAUCGGUUUUGACUGCUGGAUAAGGGUGAGAGGAAUGUGGCACCCUCGGGUGUGUUAUAGCCUUUCACUGGAUGCAGCAGUUGGGACCGAGGAACGCAGCGCGCCUUUAUGGCGGACCUUCGGGUACCUUCGCGCUUAGGAUGCUG
rnacentral:rRNA from 1 species